UACGUAGGGUGCAAGCGUUGUCCGGAAUUAUUGGGCGUAAAGAGCUCGUAGGCGGUCUGUCGCGUCGGCUGUGAAAACUCGGGGCUCAACUCCGAGCUUGCAGUCGAUACGGGCAGGCUAGAGUUCGGCAGGGGAGACUGGAAUUCCUGGUGUAGCGGUGAAAUGCGCAGAUAUCAGGAGGAACACCGGUGGCGAAGGCGGGUCUCUGGGCCGAUACUGACGCUGAGGAGCGAAAGCAUGGGGAGCAAACAGG
rnacentral:rRNA from 1 species